rnacentral:lncRNA from 1 species
CCUAUUGGGACCUAUCGGAGCCUAUUGGGGCUUAUCGAGGCCUAUCGGGACCUGUCGAGGCCUGUCAGGACCUGUUGGGGCUUAUUGAGGCCUGUCGGGGCCUGUCGGGGCCUGUCGAAGCCUGUUGGGGCUUAUCGCAGCCUAUCGUGGCCUAUUGGGGUCUAUUGGGGCCUAUUGGGACCUAUCGCGGCCUAUUGGGGUCUAUCGCGGCCUGUCGGGACCUAUCGCAGCCUAUCAAGGCCUAUUGAGGCCUAUCGAGGCUUAUCGAGGCCUAUCACGGCCUAUUGGGACCUAUUGCGGCCUAUCGAGGUCUGUUGGGACCUAUCGCGGCCUAUCGAGGUCUCUUGGGGCCUAUCGAGGCCUAUCGGGGCCUAUCGCGGCCUAUCGAGGUCUAUUGGGGCCUGUCGAGGCCUAUUGGGGCCUAUCGGGGCCUAUCGAGGCCUAUUGAGGCCUGUUGGGGUCUAUUGGGGUCUAUCGAGCCUAUCGAGGCCUAUUGGGGUCUAUCAAGCCUAUAGGGGCCUCUCGAGGCCUAUUGAGGCCUAUUGGGGUCUAUUGGGGCCUAUUGGGACCUAUUGCAGCUUAUCGAGGCCUAUUGGGGUCUAUCAAGGCCUAUCGGGGCUUAUUGGGAAUUAUCGGGGCCUAUCGCGGCCUAUCGAGGUCUAUUGGGGCCUGUCGAGGCCUAUUGGGGCAUAUUGGGGUCUAUCAAGCCUAUAGGGGCCUAUCGAGGCCUAUUGGGGUCUAUUGGGGCCUAUUGGGACCUAUCGCGGCCUAUUGAGGCCUAUUGGGGUCUAUCAAGGCCUAUUGGGGCUUAUUGAGAACUAUCGCGGCCUAUCGCGGCCUAUCAAGGUCUAUUGGGGUCUAUCGAGGCCUAUUGAGGCCUAUUGGGGUCUAUUGGGGCCUAUUGGGGCCUAUCGCGGCCUAUCGAGGCCUAUAGGGUCCUAUCGAGGCCUAUUGAGGCCUAUUGGGGUCUAUUG